UGGGGAAUAUUGGACAAUGGGCGGAAGCCUGAUCCAGCCAUGCCGCGUGUGUGAAGAAGGCCUUUUGGUUGUAAAGCACUUUAAGCGAGGAGGAGGCUACUUGGAUUAAUACUCUAGGAUAGUGGACGUUACUCGCAGAAUAAGCACCGGCUAACUCUGUGCCAGCAGCCGCGGUAAUACAGAGGGUGCGAGCGUUAAUCGGAUUUACUGGGCGUAAAGCGUGCGUAGGCGGCUUCUUAAGUCGGAUGUGAAAUCCCUGAGCUUAACUUAGGAAUUGCAUUCGAUACUGGGAAGCUAGAGUAUGGGAGGGGAUGGUAGAAUUCCAGGUGUAGCGGUGAAAUGCGUAGAGAUCUGGAGGAAUACCGAUGGCGAAGGCAGCCAUCUGGCCUAAUACUGACGCUGAGGUACGAAAGCAUGGGGAGCAAACAGG
rnacentral:rRNA from 1 species